rnacentral:misc_RNA from 1 species
GCAUAGAUAUUUACUUUGAAAAUGAUGGGGUUGCUUGAUGCAGUGCUCAACAUGAGGAUCCGUGUGGCCGCAUUGCUGUGUGUGGAAUGAUUUCUCAGUACAAUCUUGACAAGCCUGAAGGCGUACACAACUUAACAUCUAUUAUUGGGAAAUGAGUUCGCAUGGAAGGAUUCCUUGCCGGUGACUUCUAUCACCUUUAUCCAAAAUUUCUGGAAAUGGUAAUCCCAUACAUCAAACAAGGUAAGAUUGAAUAUGUAGAAGAUGUAGCUGAAGGACUCGAGAAUGGUCCAACAUCUCUAGUCGGACUAUUCACCGACCGAAAUGUUGGAAAACAAUAAGUGGUUGUUGCUCGUGAAUGAUUAUGAUCAUCGUCUAAUGUAUUUUCUGAGACGUGUCUUGCUUGUUUGAGUUGCUUUUCGUCAUGGACAUGUCUUGCGAUAUAGAAAUUGCCCUCUUAUCAAUAGAUUUUCU